rnacentral:rRNA from 1 species
AAUGAACGCUGGCGGCAUGCCUAACACAUGCAAGUCGAACGGAGAACAGCUCGCUGUUCUUAGUGGCAAACGGGUGAGUAACGCGUGGGAAUCUACCUUUCUGUGGGGGAUAACUGGGGGAAACUUCAGCUAAUACCGCAUACGCUCGGAAACGAGGAAAGAUUUAUUGCAGAAAGAUGAGCCCGCGGCAGAUUAGGUAGUUGGUGGGGUAAUGGCCUACCAAGCCGACGAUCUGUAGCUGGUCUGAGAGGAUGAUCAGCCACACUGGGAUUGAGAUACGGCCCAGACUCCUACGGGAGGCAGCAGUGAGGAAUAUUGGACAAUGGGGGAAACCCUGAUCCAGCGAUGCCGCGUGAAUGAAGAAGGCCCUCGGGUUGUAAAAUUCUUUCACUCGUGAAGAUGAUGACGGUAGCUGGAGAAGAAGCUCCGGCUAACUAUGUGCCAGCCGCCGCAGUAA